GACAACAAUCUAGAGAAUCAACACACCAUAGAAUUUUCGCUUAAUCAUAGAAAUUUUAUUAAUACAAGAAAUUUCACUUAGAUGGAAUACAAAUUACUUGUCACUAUAGUGAGACCAUGAAUAAGAAGACAAAGAUGCUUCAAUUUCAAACCAUCACAAUAAUAAUGAUAAUAAUAAAUAAUAACAAUCAAGUAUGAACGAAAUGUUCAUAGGCAAAAACAAAUAGCAAGUGCUAGAGAGAAUAUACCAAAAAGUACAAAAUCCACACACCACAUGAAGAAUAAAAAAUAUAUUGUGACACAACCAUAUUAAGUAGCAGUGUCUAUUUAAGCGCACACGAAACCCUUUGGAACUCCCUUUCCACAAUAGUUAAGUACCAAGCUCAAAUUAAUUGGAAGAUUAAGGUUAAUGCCUAAGACAUUAGCCUUAAGAGCAGUGCAAAGGCACACAGCAGCUUCAAGAUUAGCAAGACCAUCAAUGAGAGAGCAGCAUGGUGUCUUUGGUGGCUUACCAAGCUCAACAUUAAUCAAACCCAAUACAUCAGCACACACACCAAACUUGAUUGUGUCUCUAGGGCAUGUUGGGUUUUUGGAGGAAGGUGGAUGAUGAGGGUGUGAGUGGCCGUGAUCUUUGUGAGGUGGUGGGGGACAUGGAACAUAUGUGGAGCUUACCACAGUGAAAAAUAUGAUGUUGAGGCAAAGGAGCAUAGCAACCUUGGAAGCCAUUUGGAUUAAUGAUUAAGAUUAAGGUGCUAAUACUCUUAGUUUGAUUUGGUGUGUGAGUGAGUGAUGAUGUUUGAGAGAAUAAGAGGGGAUUUUAUAGGGAAGGAUUGGUGAAUUUGUUGAUUAUAAUAACUGGUUUAUUUGGAGGCCCAUGUGAGUUACUGAGGGAGCCCAUUGAGUGGAAACUUGAUUAGUCAUCAGCACAAGCUGGCAUAUCAACAUGGAUGAGGAAAUAUGCUCUUCAUUUGAGGGAGUACGAAUAUAUAUUUUAUGGUUAAGUUUGGA
rnacentral:lncRNA from 1 species